rnacentral:rRNA from 1 species
GAUGAACGCUGGCGGCGUGCCUGAUACAUGCAAGUCGAGCGAACAGACGAGGAGCUUGCUCCUCUGACGUUAGCGGCGGACGGGUGAGUAACACGUGGAUAACCUACCUAUAAGACUGGGAUAACUUCGGGAAACCGGAGCUAAUACCGGAUAACAUGUUGAACCGCAUGGUUCAACAGUGAAAGACGGUCUUGCUGUCACUUAUAGAUGGAUCCGCGCCGCAUUAGCUAGUUGGUAAGGUAACGGCUUACCAAGGCAACGAUGCGUAGCCGACCUGAGAGGGUGAUCGGCCACACUGGAACUGAGACACGGUCCAGACUCCUACGGGAGGCAGCAGUAGGGAAUCUUCCGCAAUGGGCGAAAGCCUGACGGAGCAACGCCGCGUGAGUGAAGAAGGUCUUCGGAUCGUAAAACUCUGUUAUUAGGGAAGAACAAAUGUGUAAGUAACUAUGCACGUCUUGACGGUAUCUAAUCAGAAAGCCACGGCUAACUACGUG